AACUUUCGGCAACGGAUCACUUGGCUCUCGCAUCGAUGAAUAACGCAGCGAAAUGCGAUACGUAAUGUGAAUUGCAGAAUUCAGUGAAUCAUCGAAUCUUUGAACGCACCUUGCGCCCCUUGGUAUUCCGAGGGGCACACCCGUUUGAGUGUCGUCAAUACUCUCAACCUUCUUGGUUUCUUUGACCAGGAAGGCUUGGACUUUGGAGGUUUUUCUUGCUGGCCUCUUUCGAAGCCAGCUCCUCCUAAAUGAAUGGGUGGGGUCCGCUUUGCUGAUCCUCGACGUGAUAAGCAUUUCUUCUACGUCUCAGUGUCAGCUCGGAACCCGCUUUCAAACCGUCUUUGGACAAAGACAAUGUUCGAGUUGCGACUCGACCUUACAAACCUUGACCUCAAAUCGGGUGAGACUACCCGCUGAACUUAAGCAUAUCAAUAAGCGGAGGAU
rnacentral:misc_RNA from 1 species